CCUACGGGGGGCUGCAGUGGGGAAUAUUGGACAAUGGGGGCAACCCUGAUCCAGCCAUGCCGCGUGUGUGAAGAAGGCCCUCGGGUUGUAAAGCACUUUCAGUGAGGAAGAACGCCUGGUGGUUAAUACCCAUCAGGAAAGACAUCACUCACAGAAGAAGCACCGGCUAACUCCGUGCCAGCAGCCGCGGUAAUACGGAGGGUGCGAGCGUUAAUCGGAAUUACUGGGCGUAAAGCGCGCGUAGGUGGCUUGAUAAGCCGGUUGUGAAAGCCCCGGGCUCAACCUGGGAACGGCAUCCGGAACUGUCAAGCUAGAGUGCAGGAGAGGAAGGUAGAAUUCCCGGUGUAGCGGUGAAAUGCGUAGAGAUCGGGAGGAAUACCAGUGGCGAAGGUGGCCUUCUGGACUGACACUGACACUGAGGUGCGAAAGCGUGGGUAGCAAACAGGAUUAGAUACCCUGGUAGUC
rnacentral:rRNA from 1 species